CAAUAGCGUAUAUUAAAGUUGUUGCAGUUAAAAAGCUCGUAGUUGGAUUUCUGGUAGGAGUGACCGUUCCGAACUUGAUUGUUCGUGUAUUGUGUUUUCUCCAGCCAUCCUUGUGGAGAACUUUUCUUGCAUUAAUUUGUAGGGAUUGGGACCCGCCUCGUUUACUGUGAAAAAAUUAGAGUGUUUAAAGCAGGCAAUCGCUUGAAUACAUUAGCAUGGAAUAAUAAGAUAGGACUUUGGUACUAUUUUGUUGGUUUGCAUACCAAAUUAAUGAUCAACAGGAACAGUUUGAGGAUAUUCGUAUGAACAUGUCAGAGGUGAAAUUCUUGGAUUUUGAUCAGACGAACUACUGCGAAAGCAUUUAUCAAGGAUGUUUUCAUUAA
rnacentral:rRNA from 1 species